rnacentral:rRNA from 1 species
UACGAAGGGGGCUAGCGUUGUUCGGAAUUACUGGGCGUAAAGCGCGUGUAGGCGGGUCUUUAAGUCAGGGGGGAAAUGCCAAGGCUCAACCUUGGAACUGCCUUUGAUACUGGAGACCUUGAGUCCGGGAGAGGUGAGUGGAAUUGCGAGUGUAGAGGUGAAAUUCGUAGAUAUUCGCAAGAACACCAGUGGCGAAGGCGGCUCACUGGUCCGGUACUGACGCUGAGGUGCGAAAGCGUGGGGAGCAAACAGG